AGAGCGAACGCUGGCGGCAUGCUUAACACAUGCAAGUCUCACGGGCAGCAAUGUCAGUGGCGGACGGGUGAGUAACGCGUAGGUAUCUAUCCUUGGGUGGGGGAUAACGUUGGGAAACUGACGCUAAUACCGCAUGACACCUGUGGGUCAAAGGCGCGAGUCGCCUGGGGAGGAGCCUACGUACGAUUAGCUUGUUGGUGGGGUAAAGGCCUACCAAGGCUACGAUCGUUAGCUGGUCUGAGAGGAUGAUCAGCCACACUGGGACUGAGACACGGCCCAGACUCCUACGGGAGGCAGCAGUGGGGAAUAUUGGACAAUGGGCGAAAGCCUGAUCCAGCAAUGCCGCGUGUGUGAAGAAGGUCUUCGGAUUGUAAAGCACUUUCGGCGGGGACGAUGAUGACGGUACCCGCAGAAGAGCCCCGGCUAACUUCGCGCCAGCAGCCGC
rnacentral:rRNA from 1 species